rnacentral:rRNA from 1 species
GCGCGAAAACUUUACAAUGCGGGAAACCGUGAUAAGGGGACACCGAGUGCCAGCAUCAUAUGCUGGCUGUCCAGAUGUGUAAAAUACAUCUGUUAGCAAGGGCCGGGCAAGACCGGUGCCAGCCGCCGCGGUAACACCGGCGGCCCGAGUGGUGAUCGUGAUUAUUGGGUCUAAAGGGUCCGUAGCCGGUUUGGUCAGUCCUCCGGGAAAUCUGAUAGCUCAACUAUUAGGCUUUCGGGGGAUACUGCCAGACUUGGAACCGGGAGAGGUAAGAGGUACUACAGGGGUAGGAGUGAAAUCUUGUAAUCCCUGUGGGACCACCUGUGGCGAAGGCGUCUUACCAGAACGGGUUCGACGGUGAGGGACGAAAGCUGGGGGCACGAACCGGAUUAGAUACCCGGGUAGUCCCAGCCGUAAACGAUGCUCGCUAGGUGUCAGGCAUGGCGCGACCGUGUCUGGUGCCGCAGGGAAGCCGUGAAGCGAGCCACCUGGGAAGUACGGCCGCAAGGCUGAAACUUAAAGGAAUUGGCGGGGGAGCAACG